rnacentral:rRNA from 1 species
AGUGAACGCUGGCGGUAGGCCUAACACAUGCAAGUCGAACGGCAGCACAGUAAGAGCUUGCUCUUACGGGUGGCGAGUGGCGGACGGGUGAGGAAUACAUCGGAAUCUACUUUUUCGUGGGGGAUAACGUAGGGAAACUUACGCUAAUACCGCAUACGACCUACGGGUGAAAGCAGGGGAUCUUCGGACCUUGCGCGAUUGAAUGCGCCGAUGUCGGAUUAGCUAGUUGGCGGGGUAAAGGCCCACCAAGGCGACGAUCCGUAGCUGGUCUGAGAGGAUGAUCGGCCACACUGGAGCUGGGACACGGUCCAGACGACUACGGGAGGCAGCAGUGGGGAAUAUUGGACAAUGGGCGCAAGCCUGAUCCAGCCAUACCGCGUGGGUGAAGAAGGCCUUCGGGUUGUAAAGCCCUUUUGUUGGGAAAGAAAAGCAGCAGGUUAAUACCCCGCUGUUCUGACGGUACCCAAAGAAUAAGCACCGGCUAACUUCGUG